UGGGGAAUAUUGGACAAUGGGCGAAAGCCUGAUCCAGCCAUGCCGCGUGUGUGAAGAAGGUCUUCGGAUUGUAAAGCACUUUAAGUUGGGAGGAAGGGCAUUAACCUAAUACGUUAGUGUUUUGACGUUACCGACAGAAUAAGCACCGGCUAACUCUGUGCCAGCAGCCGCGGUAAUACAGAGGGUGCAAGCGUUAAUCGGAAUUACUGGGCGUAAAGCGCGCGUAGGUGGUUUGUUAAGUUGGAUGUGAAAUCCCCGGGCUCAACCUGGGAACUGCAUUCAAAACUGACUGACUAGAGUAUGGUAGAGGGUGGUGGAAUUUCCUGUGUAGCGGUGAAAUGCGUAGAUAUAGGAAGGAACACCAGUGGGGAAGGCGACCACCUGGACUAAUACUGACACUGAGGUGCGAAAGCGUGGGGAGCAAACA
rnacentral:rRNA from 1 species